UGUCGCCAAAUGAGCGUCUCGGCGCGUC
rnacentral:piRNA from 1 species